rnacentral:rRNA from 1 species
CAAGGUUCAUAGUCAAGAGGGAAACAGCCCAAACCGUCAGCUAAGGUCCCGAAAUAAUGCUAAGUGUUAAAUGAAGUCCGGAUGCACAGACAGCCAGGAGGUUGGCUCAGAAGCAGCCAUUCCUUGAAAGAGUGCGUAACAGCUCACUGGUCGAGCAUGCGGGCGCAGACAAUGUAACGGGGCUAAGCAUUAUACCGAAGCUACGGAUCUUGCGCAUAGGCGCAAGGUGGUAGGGGAGCAUGCCGUCAACCGGCGAAGGCGUAUCCGCGAGGGGCGCUGGAGGAAACGGCAGAGAGAAUGCAGGCAUAAGUAACGAAAAGACGGGUGUGAUUCCCGUCCGCCGAAAACAUAAGGUUUCCAGGGUAAAGGCAAUCUGCCCUGGGUAAGUCGGAGCCUAAGUCCAGGCCGAAAGGCGUAGGCGAUGGUAAUCCGGUUCAAAUUCCGGAACCUCCGGCAUUUCGAUGCCACGACGCAUGAGGCGAAGUCCGGCGGGAGAACGGUAGUUCCCGUCAAAGCAUUGAGCCGCCAUAAAGGAGGGGGGUAAAUGACCCUCCGAGGUGAGAUGUGACAGCGAGCUGAGAGAAAGUCGAAGCGAAGCGGGCGGAGUCAUGGUGCCGAGAAAGAGUGGCUAGGCUAGAUGCCGGGGUCCGUACCGUAAACGGACACACGUAUGUGGGAUGAGUAAUCUAAGGCGCUCGAGCGACCUCGCGUUAAGGAACUCGGCAAAAUGCGCACGUAACUUCGGAAGAAGUGUGGCUCCUGUUUGAAAGGAUUAGGAGCGGCAGAAAGCAGGCCCAGGCGACUGUUUAUCAAAAACACAGCCAUCUGCGAACCAGCAAUG